AUCACCUCUUGCAAAACGAACGAAUAAGAGGCCCCGCCUGCCCAGUGACUAUACGUUAAACGGCCGCGGUAUUUUGACCGUGCAAAGGUAGCGCAAUAAAUUGUCCCUUAAUUGGGGACUAGUAUGAAUGGCAUCACGAAGGCUUAGCUGUCUCCCCUUUAAAGUCAAUGAAAUUGAUCUCCCCGUGCAGAAGCGGGGAUACGCUCGUAAGACGAGAAGACCCUAUGGAGCUUAAGAUACAAAGCAACCCAUGUUAUAUACCCAUAAAAUGGAAACAACAAAAUGAACCUUGCUGGAAUAUCUUCGGUUGGGGCGACCACGGGGAAAGACAAAACCCCCAAAUGGACCGGGGCUACUCAGCCCUAAAACAUAGACCCACAGGUCAAAUCACCAGUAUUUCUGACCACUAAAGACCCGGCAUAAGCCGAUCAAUGGACCAAGUUACCCUAGGGAUAACAGCGCAAUCCCCUCCAAGAGCCCUCAUCGACGAGGGGGUUUACGACCUCGAUGUUGGAUCAGGACAUCCUAAUGGUGCAGCCGCUAUUAAGGGUUCGUUUGUUCAACGAUUAAUAGUCCUACGCGAUCUGAGUUCAGACCGGAGUAAUC
rnacentral:rRNA from 1 species